rnacentral:rRNA from 1 species
GCUAACUCCGUGCCAGCAGCCGCGGUAAUACGGAGGAUCCGAGCGUUAUCCGGAAUCAUUGGGUUUAAAGGGUCUGUAGGCGGGCUAAUAAGUCAGCGGUGAAAGUCUGUCGCUUAACGAUAGAAUUGCCGUUGAUACUGUUGGUCUUGAGUCAUUAUGAAGUGGUUAGAAUGAGUAGUGUAGCGGUGAAAUGCAUAGAUAUUACUCAGAAUACCGAUUGCGAAGGCAGAUCACUAAUAAUGUACUGACGCUGAGGGACGAAAGCGUGGGGAGCGAACAGGAUUAGAUACCCUGGUAGUC